GAUUCAGUUACCUACUGUCAACCAAGGUCAGAAAAUAGGUGGAGAAAUCUGGAGAAGUCUGGCUGGGAAGGGAAGAAGAAGCAGGAAAACAGGGCUAAGCCAAGACGUGCAGCUGGAGCAGAAGGAGUCAGAACGGGCUGGCAGAGAGCGCUGAGCUCCCAGCAGGGGAAGAAACCAAAGAACAUGGAGGCUCCUGCGACGAGAG
rnacentral:lncRNA from 1 species